rnacentral:rRNA from 1 species
AACGUAGGUUCCGAGCGUUAUCCGGAUUUACUGGGCGUAAAGCGCGUUCAGGCGGUUCGGCAAGUCGGGCAUGAAAUCUCUCGGCUCAACCGGGAGGGGUUGUCCGAUACUGCUGGACUUGAGGGCAGUAGAGGGUGGUGGAAUUCCGGGUGUAGUGGUGAAAUGCGUAGAUAUCCGGAGGAACACCAGUGGCGAAAGCGGCCACCUGGACUGUACCUGACGCUCAAACGCGAAAGCUAGGGGAGCGAACGGG